rnacentral:rRNA from 1 species
GACGAACGCUGGCGGCGUGCCUAAUACAUGCAAGUCGAGCGAGCGGAUCUAACCGAUUUGCUUCGGUAAUGACGUUAGGAGAGCGAGCGGCGGAUGGGUGAGUAACACGUGGGGAACCUGCCCCAUAGUCUGGGAUACCACUUGGAAACAGGUGCUAAUACCGGAUAAGAAAGCAGAUCGCAUGAUCAGCUUUUAAAAGGCGGCGUAAGCUGUCGCUAUGGGAUGGCCCCGCGGUGCAUUAGCUAGUUGGUAAGGUAAAGGCUUACCAAGGCGAUGAUGCAUAGCCGAUAUGAGGGACUGAUCGGCCACAUUGGGACUGAGACACGGCCCACACUCCUACGGGAGGCAGCAGUAGGGAAUCUUCCACAAUGGACGAAAGUCUGAUAGAGCAACGCCGCGUGAGUGCAGAAGGUUUUCGGAUCGUAAAGCUCUGUUGUUGGUGAAGAAGGAUAGAGGUAGUAACUGGCCUUUAUUUGACGGUAACCAACCAGAAAGUCACGGCUAACUACGUG